AACCACUACACCACGGAGGCGGUUGUGAUCCCUUGAAAGUGGAGGAAGCUCAUUAUGGGCUUGGUAAUUCAGGUAAAAAGCCUUGGGGCCGUGGAAAUUCCAAAUGGUAGGACUUUCCAUUGGUAGUGAUUCCCGUUGAACACAAAGCGAAGGUACUUCCGGUGUUCUGAAUUUGUAUCGGAACGUGAAGAUAAGCAUUCUGAAGAUCUAGGCUGAUGAGGAAGUCUCCCUUCUUCAAGAUGGCGCGUAGAAGGUUGAUCGACACCAUCCUGA